rnacentral:sRNA from 1 species
ACAAAGUAACUGCAAACGACUCUACGUUCGCACUCGCCGCUUAAUUGCGGUUGAGCUUCUCAACGGCAGGCCGAUGGGCCGGGCUGAGUUCCAUUCGGGGCAAGGCUGAGAAGUCACUCACAUCGGCUGGCAACGCGCUGGGUCACUCAGCGCAUUGCGAGAUCAAGUGACUGGCGGAAAAGCUAGCGUGCCACUGCGCGAGUUGACCGUGAGAUUCAAAUCAGCCGGCUAAGCAUGUAGAUCUGCCCGGUGAUGGCUUGCGGACGGGGGUUCAAUUCCCCCCGGCUCCACCA